GCCAUAGAGAAAUGCAUAUUUUGAUUGUAAGCGAUUACUAGUUAGUUUGUACGUGUGUUUUGUUUUAGUCAACUUCAAUUUAGGAGCGGAACAAACCAUUGUCACAUUGGUAUUCUUAGCGAAGGAGAAGAUGCUAUAAUUGAGGAGGAAUGUGGCUGACAUCUGGAGGAUCAAUUUUGUAUUACUUCAUAAUAAUUAUUCAUAAUAAUUACUGACAUUUUGAUGAAAAAUCUUUUUUUCCUUAAAUAUGAUAACAAAUUUAUGCUAAUUUUUCUGAAAUUCUUAUUUUAAUACACUUUAAUGUAAGAUAAUGUAGGGCCUUAUUGCUAUAAAUACAUGUUGAGGUAAAAAAAUGAAAACACAGUGUGGUCAAUUUCAUGCAUUUUUGGGGGCCAUAGAUGAGUUAAAGUUUGCAAGAUCAGUACUAAUAUAUAUGACCUAAAUGUAAAUGAGUGAGCCAUUGUUUUAUAUAUGUUAGUGCAUCUAGUUCAAUCUGUUUCCUAAGGACUGUGAAAGGUGUUCACUGUAGUUUAGGGUAAAACUUUGGAGUCAAGGGAAAGAUCAUUUUCCUUGAUGAAAAUUGAAUUAGUUGGUAGUGACAAAACUAAUCAGUGAUCGGUACAGCAUUCUGUGCCACACAGCUUUGGUCCCAUAACAUCUACUUUGUCAGUUUUUCUAAGUUAUUGCAUAAUCUGGUGACUGACAUAAUAUGAUAUGUCUCUGUGUAGAACAGCCCACACAUUACUCAAAGUUCUGUUAAUAGACAGACAUCUUCUGAUUGGACACGGCACUACUGGAUGUACUGAAAGAAUGAUACAUAAGGGAACUUAUAAGAAACAAUAAGCACAUUUAGAGGUGCUCAAAAAAGCCAUAAAGUUACAUAUAUUGUUAAGUUCUAUCAAAAAGGCACUAGAUAGAGCUGUUUAGAGGAUUCCAUGCACAAUCAAAAUCCCUUGGGAAGAUAACUCUUCUACCAAAAGGGAACUAGUAGUAAUAAUAAUGAUAAUAAUAAUGAGACUUUGAUGAUGUUCUUUUUGGGUCUGAGAGUCUGUGUCACCUCAAUAUAAAAACCUGAUCAAAGAAAAUGGGUGGUGCUUGUGUUCUUUAGAGGGUAAUUCUUUGAAAUAAGACCUUCAUAAUGAGGACUCCCGAAGAGUCCCUUUACUUUGGUUCGGAGAACACACACCUUAAUUCCUCUCAAAAAGGGAGAAAACAAAAGACUGGAAAAAAUUUUUUUAGCCAUAAAGCACCUUAGGAGGUGCUCUAAAAAAGUCAUAAAGAUAGUUACAUUAAGAAUUAAUGUAAAGAAUACAGUUUUUAACAAAGUACACUCUGCAAUUCUUAGUAUCACUCAGGCACUGUGUGUAUCUGAAUACACACAGUGUGUGUACUUUAUGAAGAAUUUGAGUGUGUAAACCAUUAAAAGAUUAUUUUUUCGUUAA